ensembl:lncRNA
GCAUAAAACAGCAUACUGAUUCUACAGUUACCCCUUUUGAUCUUCAUCAGUAUAUUUUCACAUUGUAUAUACAUUUUCCUCCCUGUAACAUUUAACAUUUUCCAACAAUACAAUGCGAUACCAUUCCCAACAUCCAGCCAGUUAAAACUCAAUUUCCUUCACCCAAAAUCAGUAACACAGAAACGUGGCAGUUGGAGGGUCAAGUCUGCAGGUCCACACACUCAUGUGAACUUAGAAUCUCUCUCCCUUCUCUGGUCUCUAUCAUCCUACUGCUCCUGCAAAAAAACAAAACCCUUUUCUACCAGCUGGGUGAAUUGUUUGUCAACAUUUACUCAUUUGUCUCAGUUUUAAGUCAGUCAAAACUUUAUUUACAUCAUCAGUCUGUCACAGUACAGUCAGUCCCUCGCAUGCAUCAUUGCUGAUAGUGAAGCCUCUCGCACACGCGUUUCAGUAUUCACUCACAGCAAUAUCACGUCAGAUCAAAGAGAAGACAAUUCUUUAUGAUUUUGGAGUGGAUUGAACCGCUACAAUCCUUUUAGACUCCGGACUCACCAUCUCAUGUGAUCAGUGUCCCAGAUAAGUAAAUUUCUCCAAAGCCCAUUGUAAUCAGGGGAAGCACACUUUGUGACUGUUUCCAGUAGGAAUCUUUUGUAGCGCUUUUGAUUUCAACCUUGCAGGCCUGCUUAAAAGAGAGCUGAUUGUUAAAUUAUGAACUCACAAAAUAGCACCACCGGUGCAUAACACCUCUCAGAUUUCUUAUCUCAGUGCACUGUAACAAAAGCAAGAACAAAAGUAAAAAAUAAAAUAAUAAUAAAAAUAACAAAUACUGGGCGAGUUCCAGACAUGUCCAAGCAUAAAACCGGCUCUCUCUCUUAGAGAAAAAAAACAACCCAAACCUCACUGGCAAAAUCAACCUAGUGCUAAGCAAAAUCCAAAGACCGGCCAAAAAAUUCACAGGAAAGUUUAUGCUUCCUAAUGUAACAAUAUGGUUUAGGAAUUAGCUUCAAGACAUUACAAAGUUAGUUUAUCAUUCUCACUCUGUACCACUCCUCCUCAUAAUCUCAUCAGGGCUGUGUGAAGCACAGUAAGAAUUUCAGUCCAGGGGCCCGUUCUUCGUACGUCGCUUACUACAUCCAAGAUCAAAUGACACAUCCAAGAUCAAAUCAUCGCGCUAACCGUGAGCUCGCUAAUCCGGUUCCCCGAACACACCUGCUGUUGACGAUUACUACAGCUGGACGCAGGAAUGUGACAUCACUGGGUGUCGUAAAAGGGGCUACGCAUCGAUAGUAGAAACAUUGAUCGGCAACCCGCUGAUUGGUCGGCGAAAAUGUCCAAGGGGCGUGCUCG